rnacentral:tRNA from 1 species
GCCAUCUGUGGCUCAGUUGUUGAGUGUCUGCUCAGCAUGCAAAAGGCCUCAGGUUCAGUCCUCAGCAGGUGCA